rnacentral:rRNA from 1 species
CACGUAGGGUGCGGGCGUUGUCCGGAAUUAUUGGGCGUAAAGAGCUCGUAGGCGGUGUGUCGCGUCGGCCGUGAAAACCUGCAGCUUAACUGUGGGCUUGCGGUCGAUACGGGCAUCACUGGAGUUCGGCAGGGGAGACUGGAAUUCCUGGUGUAGCGGUGAAAUGCGCAGAUAUCAGGAGGAACACCGGUGGCGAAGGCGGGUCUCUGGGCAGUAACUGACGCUGAGGAGCGAAAGCGUGGGGAGCGAACAGG